AUUUCUUCCAAGUAUUCUCUCAUCCAGUAAAAAAAAAAAAUAUCUGUUCAUAUCAGCUUAAUAUCUUUUAUGUCUUGCUUUACAAGACUAGAAUAUUAAACUCAUUUUUGGCUCGUGACUUAGUGCAAAGAGCAUGCUCUACCCCUGCCACAGGUUGCUUCCUCACUUUUGAACUGUCUUAAGGUAGCCAAAUGCCU